GAGGGUAGAGCUCAGUGGUAGAGCAUGUGCUUAGCGUGCACAAGGUCCUGGGUUCCAUCCCCAGCACCUCCA
rnacentral:tRNA from 1 species